GAAAUGGAUUUUUUGAAAUCCAUCCCAUUUCCCUAGUAAAGUGUUU
rfam:Rattus norvegicus chromosome 3, whole genome shotgun sequence.